CUACGGGACGCACCAGUGGGGAAUAUUGCACAAUGGGGGAAACCCUGAUGCAGCAACGCCGCGUGAAGGAAGAAGGUUUUCGGAUCGUAAACUUCUAUCAGCAAGGAAGAUAAUGACGGUACUUGACUAAGAAGCCCCGGCUAACUACGUGCCAGCAGCCGCGGUAAUACGUAGGGGGCAAGCGUUAUCCGGAAUUACUGGGUGUAAAGGGAGCGUAGACGGUAAUAUAAGUCAGAUGUGAAAGCCCGAGGCUCAACCUCGGGACUUCAUUUGAAACUGUAUAACUAGAGUACAGGAGAGGAGAGUGUCGUUCCUCGUUUAGCGGUGAAAUGCGUAGAUAUUAGGAGGAACACCAGUGGCGAAGGCGACUUUCUGGACUGUAACUGACGUUGAGGCUCGAAAGCGUGGGGAGCGAACAGGAUUAGAUACCCGAGUAGUC
rnacentral:rRNA from 1 species